rnacentral:rRNA from 1 species
UAGGGAAUUGUUCGCAAUGGGCGCAAGCCUGACGACGCAACGCCGCGUGGAGGAUGAAGAUCUUCGGGUCGUAAACUCCUUUCGAUCGAGACGAAUGGCUUCCGGGUGAACAAUCCGGAAGAAUGACGGUACCGAGAGAAGAAGCCCCGGCUAACUCCGUGCCAGCAGCCGCGGUAAUACGGGGGGGGCAAGCGUUGUUCGGAAUUACUGGGCGUAAAGGGCUCGUAGGCGGCCAACUAAGUCAGACGUGAAAUCCCUCGGCUUAACCGGGGAACUGCGUCUGAUACUGGAUGGCUUGAGAUUGGGAGAGGGAUGCGGAAUUCCAGGUGUAGCGGUGAAAUGCGUAGAUAUCUGGAGGAACACCGGUGGCGAAGGCGGCAUCCUGGACCAACACUGACGCUGAGGAGCGAAAGCUAGGGGAGCAAACGGGAUUAGAUACCCCGGUAGUCCUAGCCCUAAACGAUGAAUGCUUGGUGUGACGGGUAUCGAUCCCUGUCGUGCCGAAGCUAACGCAUUAAGCAUUCCGCCUGGGGAGUACGGUCGCAAGGCUG